CGGCCUUUGGUGAAAUAUCAAAAGGUCCUGCCUGCCCGGUGAUUAUAUAAAUUAAACGGCUGCGGUACUCUGACCGUGCAAAGGUAGCAUAAUCAUUAGCCUGUUAAUUUCAGGCUGGAAUCAAUGGCAAGACGAAGAAAAAGCUGUCUCUUUCUAUUAUUUUAGAAUUUUUCUUUUUGGUGAAGAGACCAAAAUAAAUAAGUGGGACGAGAAGACCCUAUUGAGCUUUAGUUAGUUAAAAGAAAAAAGUUUUUUUAAAUAACUUUGGUUGGGGCAACUGUUUUUAGAAUUAAACAUUAAUAAAAUAAAAAUGAAUUAAAUCUUUAAUAAAUAAAACCCAGAAAUUUUUUUCUGCACUUAAAAAAAGUUACCUUAGGGAUAACAGCGUAAUUCUUUUUGAGAGUACAUAUUGACAAAAGAGUUUGCGACCUCGAUGUUGGAUCAAGAUUUCCUGGAGGUGUAGUGGUUUCCAAGGGUUGGUUUGU
rnacentral:rRNA from 1 species